rnacentral:rRNA from 1 species
AGGGGAGUGAAAUAGAACAUGAAACCGUGAGCCUACAAGCAAUGGGAGCCCUACUCAUAGGGUGACCGUGUGCCUGUUGAAGAAUGAGCCGGCGACUUAUAGGCACUGGCGGGUUAAACCGGAAAUGGUGGAGCCAUAGCGAAAGCGAGUCUGAAUAGGGCGUUUGUCAGUGUUUAUAGACCCGAACCCGGGUGAUCUAACCAUGGCCAGGAUGAAGCUUGGGUGAUACCAAGUGGAGGUCCGAACCGACUGGCGUUGAAAAGCCAGCGGAUGAGCUGUGGUUAGGGGUGAAAUGCCAAUCGAACCCGGAGCUAGCUGGUUCUCCCCGAAAUACGUUGAGGCGUAGCGUCUCGUGCUCCAGCAGGGGGGUAAAGCCACCAUUUCGGUGCGGGCUGCGAGAGCGGUACCAAAUCGAGAUGAACUCUGAAUACCCUGUGUGUAGCGAGGCAGUCAGACUGUGGGGGAUAAGCUCCAUGGUCGAGAGGGAAACAGCCCAGACCGCCAGCUAAGGUCCCCAAAUCAACACUAAGUGAUAAAGGAGGUGGGAUUGCCCAGACAACCAGGAGGUUUGCCUAGAAGCAGCCAUCCUCAAAGGAGUGCGUAAUAGCUCACUGGUCGAGCGAUCCUGCGCCGAAAAUGAAUGGGGCUAAGUGUUGUACCGAAGCUGCGGAUUUAUGGUAGGGGAGCGUUCUAUGUGGGGCGAAGCAUUAGCGUGAGCGGAUGUGGACUGCAUAGAAGUGAGAAUGUCGGCUUGAGUAGCGAAAACAUGGGUGAGAAUCCCAUGCACCGAAACCCUAAGGGUUCCUCCGGCAGGCUCGUCCGCGGAGGGUUAGUCUGGACCUAAGGCGAGGCCGAAAGGCGUAGUCGAUGGAUAACAGGUCAACAUUCCUGUACCGGUUAUGUUUUGGGAAGAGGGACGGAGAAGGCUAGCCAAGCCAGAUGUUGGUUACUGGUUCAAGCGUUCGAGGCGUUGAGGAUCGGCGAAAACGAUCCGAGCUGAGGCGUGAGUACGAGCUGCUACGGCAGCGAAGUUGGUGAUGUCAUGCUUCCAAGAAAAGCUCUAUACCCGUUAAGGCAUAACUGCCAGUACCCGAAACCGACACAGGUGGGGUGGUAGAGAAUACCGAGGUGCGCGAGGUAACUCUCUCUAAGGAACUCGGCAAAAUGGCCCCGUAACUUCGGGAGAAGGGGUGCCACAGCAAUGUGGUCGCAGUGAAGAGGCCCUGGCGACUGUUUACCAAAAACACAGGUCUCCGCUAAGUCGCAAGACGAUGUAUGGGGGCUGACGCCUGCCCAGUGCCGGAAGGUUAAGGAAGCCGGUCAGCGUAAGCGAAGCUGGCGACUGAAGCCCCGGUGAACGGCGGCCGUAACUAUAACGGUCCUAAGGUAGCGAAAUUCCUUGUCGGGUAAG